AGUGAACGCUGGCGGUAGGCCUAACACAUGCAAGUCGAACGGCAGCACAGUAAGAGCUUGCUCUUACGGGUGGCGAGUGGCGGACGGGUGAGGAAUACAUCGGAAUCUACUUUUUCGUGGGGGAUAACGUAGGGAAACUUACGCUAAUACCGCAUACGACCUACGGGUGAAAGCAGGGGAUCUUCGGACCUUGCGCGAUUGAAUGAGCCGAUGUCGGAUUAGCUAGUUGGCGGGGUAAAGGCCCACCAAGGCGACGAUCCGUAGCUGGUCUGAGAGGAUGAUCAGCCACACUGGAACUGAGACACGGUCCAGACUCCUACGGGAGGCAGCAGUGGGGAAUAUUGGACAAUGGGCGGAAGCCUGAUCCAGCCAUACCGCGUGGGUGAAGAAGGCCUUCGGGUUGGAAAGCCCUUUUGUUGGGAAAGAAAAGCAGCAGGUUAAUACCCCGCUGUCCUGACGGUACCCAAAGAAUAAGCACCGGCUAACUUCGUG
rnacentral:rRNA from 1 species